rnacentral:misc_RNA from 1 species
AAAAGCCUUUAUUGGUUUUCUCCUUAGUGAAUUUCAGAUCUACUACAAUAUACUUGCUCCAAUGUCAGAAGAGAAUUUAUAAAGGGAUAUUGGUAUAGGAAUUAGGAAGGCGGAAAAAUAAACUUACAUCUUUGACAAAUCGUGACCCAGAUUGCUGAUUAGCACUUCUUUUAUUGCUUUGAAAUGACAAGGAACAGCCUACAGAAUUAUUGACCAGAAAAUUAGUGUAUGAAGCACACCUGCCUGUAUCAAUUGAACAGAAAAAGAAAUGAGCAUGAGUAAAUGUAAA